AGUGAACGCUGGCGGUAGGCCUAACACAUGCAAGUCGAGCGGCAGCACAGUAAGAGCUUGCUCUUACGGGUGGCGAGUGGCGGACGGGUGAGGAAUACAUCGGAAUCUACUUUUUCGUGGGGGAUAACGUAGGGAAACUUACGCUAAUAUCGCAUACGACCUACGGGUGAAAGCAGGGGAUCUUCGGACCUUGCGCGAAUGGAUGAGCCGAUGUUGGAUUAGCUAGUUGGCGGGGUAAAGGCCCACCAAGGCGACGAUCCGUAGCUGGUCUGAGAGGAUGAUCAGCCACACUGGAACUGAGACACGGUCCAGACUCCUACGGGAGGCAGCAGUGGGGAAUAUUGGACAAUGGGCGCAAGCCUGAUCCAGCCAUACCGCGUGGGUGAAGAAGGCCUUCGGGUUGUAAAGCCCUUUUGUUGGGAAAGAAAAGCAGCAGGUUAAUACCCCGCUGUUCUGACGGUACCCAAAGAAUAAGCACCGGCUAACUUCGUG
rnacentral:rRNA from 1 species